AUUAUGAAUAUUCUUACAAAAUUGUGAAAACAAUGCAAAAAUUUAACUACAUUUAGAAAGUUUUAACUUUUUCGUGGUGUUUGUACAUCUUUAAAGACUUUUGUACAUCAUGGUCAAAUUUAAUGUCAUUAUUUAAUGUUCUAUUAAUAAUCGGGAUCCCCUCACUGUGAGAUCUUUCUUCACAGUUCCUCCCAGCAUCAGUAUGAAGAUGGAAGUGAAACAGAAGAAUGGACAGGACAUCCUGCAGGUUCUCUGCUCAGCGACGGGAGGUCGGCCUCAGCCCAACAUCAUCUGGAUCCUGCCCGACUCUGCACCGGCACAACUUCCUCAGAAUCCCGAGGUGGAAUCUGAAUCCAUCACCAGCUCUCACUGGUUUCCACCAGAUCUGUGUGAAGGAGAAAAUAUCACCUGUGUUAUUGGGUACCCGCUACGCCCUGCUGUACAGACGAAAACCAUCACACUGCCAACGUACUAUAUUACUUCUCUUCAGCUGAAAGGUGGCAGGUCUGAGACGAGCAGUGACAAGACCUCUGAUCUGGUGAGAUUAGCUGAUGGGGAUGGAGAGGUCGUUAUCAGGAUGGAAGUGAUUGGGAAUGUUCCCAGCUAUACAAUCAACUGCACCAGGGAAGACGGACCCAUGCCUAAAGAAGUGAAUGUGGUUGAUAGUGAUAUACUGAUUAAAGGUCCUGUGGGUUUCAACAUUUCGGGUCAGUAUCGGUGCCAGGCCUCCUACCACAGACACUCUGCCGUCCUGCAGCUCCAGAUCGAAGUAAAUCCCAGAGUGGAGAUACCAGUGACUUUCCCCCCAAACAUAAGUGCUCAGCUCUGGAAAGAAGGAGCUAACACCUAUGUGGAAUGCUUGGCGUCCGAUGCCGCUCCCGCUGCCAAUGUCUCAUGGGAUCUUCCACAAGACCUGAAUGUGGAGAUACAGUCCGAUGUUUCGUCAUGCAACGGGACACACACUGUCCGCAGUGUCCUCACCCUGCCUGCCUGCUUCUUCCAGGAGACCACAGUCGAGUGUGUGGUUGAGCAUUUAGACCUCCUGCAGCAGGAGAGGAGACCAGUCCAUCUUCCCAUCUGUGUUCCUGUAAACGUGACGCUGCAGAGCAUGGUGGUGUGGGUGAACGGCAUGGCGUAUACCCAGGUCAACUGCAGUGCGGACAGCGUGCCCCCGGACUCCACUGUAUUCUGGAAUACAGAAAACUGCAGGAUGGGCAUCAACAUGUCUGAACCCAGUGAGGUUCUGAUCCAGUCUGGGACUCUGCAGGGUGAUGGUGGUGGGGUCUGGAGCUCAGCUCGUCUCCCAGUUCACUCCUAUGCUGGGUGCACUGUGGUCUGUGUGCUGGAGCAUCACCGACCUGAGCGGAACAGUGUCCAACUUCCAUCAGGAGGUCCCCCCUCGGUGGGUAUGAAGGUCGGUCCGCUGAGAGACUCUGGGCUCUGGGCCGCUGUGUGUGAGUACCAGGGAUUUGGGCUGGUACCGAACAUCACCUGGAUCAUUUCUGACCACAACACUGCCGCCACCACCAUCGUGCCCGUCACCCUCCAGCCUGUGUUCCAGGGCAUCUCAGUGCUGGUCAACACCAGCUAUAAGUUUGAGCUGAGUCAGCACGAGGGCAGGAACAUCACCUGUCUGAUUCGGGACCAUUAUGGGAUGGAAGAAAGGAGAACUGUAAACAUCCCAAAAUACUUUAUCUCCUCUAUUGUGGUAUUGAAUGAUACAAGUUUGUUGCGCGGGAACAGUGGGCAUGUGUACAGAGUGGCGCUGCAGGAGGCCAUCCCACAGCAGAUCAUCAGUUUCAGAGUGAUGGGAAACACACCAGCCUUCAGUAUCAGAUGUUUCAGGGCUGAUGGAUCCGCUGCACACACUGGUUCCACAGCACUGGUGUUCGUCGAGCCGGUGUCAGAGUGGGACGCUGGUCUGUACACAUGCCACGCCUCCUGGUAUCACCACAAGGCCACUGUACUGGUCCAGGUGGAAGUUACCAGCCGGGAAACUCAAAAGAUGACCUUCUUCCUCAUCUGCUUCUCUUCCGCCACGGCCAUCUCCCUCUUCCUGUUGGUCACUGUGUGCGUGCUCUGCAGGAGAGACGGACCCUCCUCACACAAGGCUCUUAGGCAGCGGGAGUCGCUGGCCGGACUGGUGCAGACCCCCUGCUCCCCGGACAUCAGCAUGGCGACACUGCCCAGUGGCCGAGGGUCCGAAUACGCCGAGCUGCUGCGCUACUCCAUCGUCCUCGAUCAGAAGAGCACCGUCUGAUUACAGAGUGCAGUCUAAUUACAGAGCACCGUCUGAUUACAGAACGCAGUGUCGACCAUGGCUGCAGGUCAAUUAUAUAUAUAAAUAUAUAUAUAUAUAUAUAUAUAUAUAAAUUGUGAUAUAUAUGACGUGUGAUAUAUAUGAUCACACACCUUCGCCUUUAUUUUUAAUAAAACCAAUGAAAAAUUUUGUUUGAAUUUGAGG
rnacentral:lncRNA from 1 species